CUUUCUGACCGGAGCGAAACCAUCGCGAGCGACCGCUGCUUCACUAUAAUCCGAGAAGAAGAGCAGGAAGAAGAAGAAGAAGAAGAAGAGGAAGGAGAAGAGGAGGAAUAAGCUCUUUCACUCAUGCGCCGUCUCUCACAGCGUGUGUGAGGAGAGAGAGAUCACAGUCAUCGAGGAUCGUCUGAACACAGCUGUGAUGUGCCGUGAUUGAAGGAUCUGCCCUGUUACACACUCACACACUCGUCGUGGGAUCUCUCUCACACACACACACACACACACACAGUCGUCUCAGCAUGCUGGCGCUCCUGUUGUGUGCUCUGCUGGCUCUUCACGCUGACGCUCUUGACGUCCGUGUCCCAGAAUCCCCUGUGGUGGCUCUGUUCGGGACGGACGCGGUCCUCAACUGCUCUUUCUCAGGCGUCUCAGAGUUCAAUCUGUCUGACCUGAGUGUGUUCUGGCAGCUCUCGGACACCCAGCGCACCGUUCACAGCUUCUGGCAGAGCCGCGAUCAGCUGAUCGAUCAGGAGGAGCGCUUCUCCAACCGCACCAGCCUGUUCCCAGACCAGCUUCCGGCCGGGAACGCUUCGCUGCUGCUGAGGAGAGUGUGUGUGUCCGAUGAGGGAAGCUACUCGUGUUUCGUCAGGGUUCAGACGUACGGCAGAGGAGCCAUGCUGAUGCAGGUCGCAGCUCCGUUCUCCAAGCCGCUGGUCACCUGGGGCCCAGAGUCGGCCCUGAGGCCCGGUGAUGCGGUGGCCCUCAGCUGCGAGGCGUCCGGAGGUUAUCCUGAAGCACAGGUGCUGUGGCAGGACGGGGCCGGACGCAAUCUGACCGACAACAUUACCAUCUCACAGGUGGCCAACGAGGAGGGUCUGUUCAGCGUGAAGAGCGUCCUGACGGUGAUCCUGGAGCCCAACAGCACUUACAGCUGCAGACUGAUCCACCCGCUGCUGGGAGAAGAAGGACAGGCGUCUGUCACCAUCAGCGCUCAGGGUCUGGUGUUUCCUCCGCUGGCGCUCUGGCUGACCGUGGCUCUGGCUGUGUGUUUGCUGGCUCUGCUGGUCGCUCUGGCAGUCGUCUGCUGCAGGAAGAUCAGAGAGAGCUGUGAGGAGAUGAGAGCUGAGGAAGAAGCCAAAGAACUCGAGUAAGCCAAAGAAUUAGAAGAAGCCAAAUCAGCUGCAACACCUCUAAAGGGUUAAAGCUGGACACCACAGGUCGAGGCUGCACCAUCAGGGAUUGACAUCCGUCUGAUCCAGCAUCAUCUCACAAGGGAUUCACUCUCACGUGUUUCACGCACAGAUAAUACAACUUUUGCCGUAUCACUUCAUUGAUUAGAGCUCCUCUGUCUCAUUUCCCGCUCAUUCCUGAACACCAUCAGGAGCGAUACACUCAUCCAGUCCUUGCAUGUUAAAGGGAAAUCAUCUUGAGGAGCAUUGGGUCUGACACCAGGGCCGCGUCAGGACAGAUGCUCGGACCGAGUGGAAAGUGAGUAGUUUUAGAAAGCAGCGGCGAAGCGUCAGCUUUUCCCACCCGCUCCGUCCCGGCCUAAUUAAUGCCUGCCCUGAACAAGGCUUUUUUGUAGCUGUCAGCGUCUGCCGGCUCCACAGAAAUCCAAUAACUUCAGCGAGCAGUUUCUGUGGAGCACCAGUGAAGCUCCAGCAAACUCCAAACUCCGCUGCAUUCUGAAAUAAGUUGUCAGGUACUUUGAAAUAUUGCAUAUAUUGGAAUUCGAAAUGUGUCAAAAUAAUCGGAGGCCUUACUGCAAACACAUUGUGCCUGUCUUUUAUUACAUAUAGAAAUUAAAAUGGUUUUCACUCCUAGAGGUGUCCAUGACUGCUUGUGUUUCACUCGCUGCAUGUAUGGUUCUUAGAUUAAAUACAAGUCAUUUUGAAGUUUUUAAAGUC